rnacentral:rRNA from 1 species
AUACAGAGGAUGCGAGCGUUAUCCGGAUUUAUUGGGUUUAAAGGGAGCGUAGGCGGGAGCUUAAGUCAGCGGUUAAAUGGUGCGGCUCAACCGUGCCCUGCCGUUGAAACUGGGUUUCUUGAGAGUGCAAGAGGCGGAUGGGAUUCAUGGUGUAGCGGGUGAAUGCUUAGAUAUCAUGAAGAACUCCGAUUGCGAAGGCAGUCCGCUGGGGCACGUCUGACGCUGAUGCUCGAAGGUGCGGGAAUCAAACAGGAUUAGAUACCCUGGUAGUCCGCACGGUAAACGAUGAUUACCCGCUGUCGGCGGUAGACAGUCGGCGGCCAAGCGAAAGCGAUAAGUAAUCCACCUGGGGAGUACGCCGGCAACGGUGAAACUCAAAGGAAUUGACGGGG